rnacentral:misc_RNA from 1 species
AAGGGUGGCACCUUCUCCUACGCCCUGGAAGCCGACAACGGCAUCAACACAGCCGUUGCUGGAGUUGUUGGAUCUGCCGGUCAGAUCAACCAGGAGGGAUCUUACACCUACACUCUUGCGGACGGUACCCAGGCUGUUGUCACUUUCGUGGCCAACGAGAACGGCUUCCAACCCCAGUCCAGCAUCCUGCCCACUCCCCAUCCUCUUCCUGCCCACGUCUAUGAGCUGUUGGAAAUCGCUGAGCGUCAGCGUGCUGCGGGCAUCGUUUUUAACUGAGGGAAUGA